UACGUAGGGUGCGAGCGUUAAUCGGAAUUACUGGGCGUAAAGCGUGCGCAGGCGGUUUUGUAAGCCAGAUGUGAAAUCCCCGGGCUUAACCUGGGAAUGGCAUUUGGGACUGCAAGGCUUGAGUGCGGCAGAGGGGGGUGGAAUUCCACGUGUAGCAGUGAAAUGCGUAGAGAUGUGGAGGAACACCAAUGGCGAAGGCAGCCCCCUGGGUCGAUACUGACGCUCAUGCACGAAAGCGUGGGUAGCAAACAGG
rnacentral:rRNA from 1 species